rnacentral:rRNA from 1 species
UCAGGAUGAACGCUGGCGGCGUGCCUAAUACAUGCAAGUCGAGCGAUGAGGCUCCUUCGGGAGUACAUCAGCGGCGAACGGGUGAGUAACACGUAGGUGACUUGCCCCGAAGAUGGGGAUAACCUCUGGAAACGGGGGCUAAUACCCAAUGUGCUCGGUGAUUCGGUUGAUCGAGUAAAGCUCCGGCGCUUCGGGAGAGGCCUGCGGCCCAUCAGCUAGUUGGUAGGGUAACGGCCUACCAAGGCAGAGACGGGUAGGGGGCGUGAGAGCGCGGACCCCCACACUGGCACUGCGACACGGGCCAGACUCCUACGGGAGGCAGCAGUAAGGAAUAUUGCGCAAUGGACGAAAGUCAGACGCAGCGACGCCGCGUGGGCGAUGAAGGCCUUCGGGUUGUAAAGCCCUUUUAUGGGGGAAGAGAAAAAGGACGGUACCCCAUGAAUAAGUCCCGGCUAACUACGUGCCAGCAGCCGCGGUAAAACGUAGGGGACAAGCGUUAUCCGGAUUCACUGGGCGUAAAGAGCGUUGAGGCGGUUCCGUAAGUUGGGCGUGAAAGCUCCGGGCUUAACCCGGAGAUGUCGUUCAAUACUGCGGGGCUUGAGGACAGCAGAGGAAGGUGGAAUUCCCGGUGUAGUGGUGAAAUGCGUAGAUAUCGGGAGGAACACCCGUGGCGAAGGCGGCCUUCUGGGCUGUUCCUGACGCUGAAGGCGAAAGCUAGGGGAGCGAACGGGAUUAGAUACCCCGGUAGUCCUAGCUGUAAACGAUGGAUGCUGGGUGUGGGGGGUGUAAAUUCCCUCUGUGCCGAA